UGCAGUGUGACGGAGGUGGGAGACGUGUUCUCUGCCCACCGGGAGUCUGCAGUCCAGAGGAGGUGCUUGCAGUCUAACCAUGAUCAGAUCGGACCCUAUUUUUCUUCCCUAUUAGGUUCACGAUCCAAGAAAGGCAGUGUGGCCUGCUGGGAAGAGCACUCGGCUGGGAGUCAAGAGACCUGGGUUCUAAUUCCAGCUCCGUCCCCGAUCUGCCUCGUGACCUCAGGAUCUCACUCCCGGCAGGAGAAACUAGGAGAGAUCUCUAUGUCUUGGCAACCCAAGAAGUCUCAAAGGGUGGAAAAUCCCUGCAGGACUUGGUCUGAAAGCCCCAGAGCCCUGGCUGUUAACCUGGGUUUUCAUGUGCCCAAGGUCAGCCCAAGGAAGGAGGAGGAAGCAGGCAAAGAGUAAUGGAGACCAUUGCUCUUCUCUUCAUCCUCCCGGGCUACCCCUACUCCAGCUUCUGCUCCACCCUUCAGCUUCGGACCCAUCUCCCGUAACUGAUUUAUUUAUAUUAAUGUCUGUCUCCCCCCGCCCCCAGACUGUAGCUUGCUGUGGGUAGGGAACAUGUUUACCGACUCUAUUAUACUGUACUCUCCCAAGCGCUUAGCAUGGUGCCCGCAGUAAGUACUCGAUAAUGAUGGGCUUGAAACAGGGGAAGAAGCAAGGUCCUUGUUCUGACCUCUAAUUCUUUGACCCAACUCAUCUAGUGUCCAAGGGGAUCUUUGAGGUGCAGGCAGGGAGAUGUGUAAUAUGAGAUGCCACCGGAUUUCAAUCAAUCAAUCAAUCAAUUAAUCAAUCGUAUUUAUUGAGUGCUAGCUGUGUGCACAAUACACCAGAGUUGAUAGACACAUUCCCUGCCAACAACAAGCUCAGAGACUAGAGGGGGGUGACAGACGGGACUUAAUUUCAGAACUGUGGAUAUUUUCCCACUGGUAUUUCUCCAACCGAAGGUCAGGAUUUCUGGAUGAUAGGGAGAGUUCCAGCCAAGUCAGAGACAGGAGCCCUAGAGUAGCCCUUCGUAGGCUGAAAAUCCAGCCCUGGCCUGGCCUGAACCAGACAAGAGUGGGGCUUGUCCCCAGCCCCCACAUCUUCUUUUGGUCAGGGAGAACAAUAAUAAUAAUAAUAAUAGUAUUUGUUAAGCGCUCACUAUGUGCCACGCACUGUUCUAAGUGCUGAGAAGAGGGAGAUGUAUGUGUGGGCAGUACUUUGGGAGGGCCUGUCUGCCCUUCUGCACGGCCGAGAAUCCUAUUAAUUCAUUCAAUUGUAUUUAUUGAGUGCUUACUCUGCGCUGAGCACUGCACUAAGUGCUUGGGGA